UUGGAGGGCAAGUCUGGUGCCAGCAGCCGCGGUAAUUCCAGCUCCAAUAGCGUAUAUUAAAGUUGUUGCAGUUAAAAAGCCCGUAGUUGAAUUUCGGGGUUAGUAGGUUGGUCAUGCCUCUGGUAUGUACUGGUCUCACUGAUUCCUCCUUCCUGAUGAGCCGUAAUGCCAUUAAUUUGGUGUUGCGGGGAAUUUGGACUGUUACUUUGAAAAAAUUAGAGUGUUUAAAGCAAGCUAACGCUUGAAUACAUUAGCAUGGAAUAAUGAAAUAGGACGUUCGAUCCUAUUUUGUUGGUUUCUAGGAUUGACGUAAUGAUUAAUAGGGAUAGUUGGGGGCAUUAGUAUUCAAUUGUCAGAGGUGAAACUCUUGGAUUUAUUGAAGACUAACUACUGCGAAAGCAUUUGCCAAGGAUGUUUUCAUUAAUCAAGAACGAAAGUUAGGGGAUCGAAGACGAUCAGAUACCGUCGUAGUCUUAACCAUAAACUAUGCCGACUAGGGAUCGGAUGAUGUUAAUUUUUUAAUGACUCAUUCGGCGCCUUACGGGAAAC
rnacentral:rRNA from 1 species